AUGGUGGCAGUUGCAAUGAAGGUGGUGGCAGACAUGGAAUUAGUGAAGUCAGUUCCAGGACACAGAGCAGGACUGGAGUCUUUCUUUGAUUUUAUUUUUUCUAUUAAUGGCUCAAGAUUAAAUAAACAAUGACACUCUAAAGAAUCUACUGAAAAUGAAUGCGGAAAAGCCUGUAAAAAUCUACAGCAGCAAAACGCUGGAGCUGCGGGAGACCUCAGUCAUGCCCAGUAGUGUGUGGGGUGGCCAGGGCUUGCUGGGAGUAAGCAUGUUUCUGCAGCUUUGACGGGGCCAAUGAGAACGUUUGGCAUGUCCUGGAAGUCGAAUCAAAUUCUCCUGCAGCGCUGGCAGGUCUUAGGCCUCACAGCGACUACAUCAUUGGAGCAGAUACAGUCAUGAAUGAGUCCGAAGAUAUGUUCAGCCUGAUUGAGACACACCAAGCCAAGACCCUGAAGCUUUAUGUGUACAACACAGACACUGACAACUGUCGCGAAGUGAUUAUCACCCCGAAUUCUGCUUGGGGAGGAUAAGGCAGCCUGGGAUGUGGCAUUGGAUGUGGUUAUUUGCAUCGAAUACCUACACAUCCAUUUGAAGAAGGAAAGAAAAUCUCUCUUCCAGGACAAAUGACUGGUACACCUAUUACUCCUCUUAAAGACGGGUUUACGGAGGUCCAGCUGUCCUCAGUUCAUCCCCCAUCUUUGUCACCGCCCGGAACCACAGGAAUUGAACAGGGUCUGUCGGGACUUUCUGUUAGCUCAACUUCGCCGGCUAUCAAUGACGUGCUCAGUACAGGUGUACCAACAGUACCGUUAUUGCCACCACAAGUAAACCGGUCCCCUACUUCUGUUCCACCGCUAACCCAGCUACAACGCUACCAAAUCUGAUGUCUUUACCAGCCAGACUGGCCAACCUCCCUAAUCUCUCCAAUCUCCCCAACCUCAACCUUCCCGCGCGGCACCUCCUGCCCGGCGUUGGCUUCCCCGAGCUCGCGAACUCCGGUUUGCCACCUCUUCCUUUCUUGACUCCCCCACAAGCUGCCUGGCAUCGCACCUCUGCCCGUGCCAUCCGAGUUCCUCCCGUCCUUCCCUUUGGUUCCAGAGGGUCCUUCCACAGCCAGCUCUGGGGAGCUGCUGUCUUCCCUGCCACCCGUCGGUGACCCGCCUUCUGACCCCCUCCCGACUACUGCCAAGGCAGACGCUGCCACCUUGCUCACUGCGGAUGUGACGCCCGCCCCUGGCCUGGCCCCCAGUACUGUGGAGGACAGAGGCAGCGACUCUGCCCCAGCCCGGGAGAAGCCGGUGCCCACAGUCACAGAGGCAACUGCCCCCGAGUCACCUUAACUUGGAACCGAUCUUGGGCGUUGGCGUGGUGGAUUUGUCUAACCACGGGAGUGGGUCUGGAAAUGCAAACUGUCAUUAAUUUCAUACUAGUUUGUACCGUAACUAUAGGCGUCCUGUAAAUAAUUCUAAGGGGAAAAAUAUAAGCAAGAGGACGUGGGCUUGUGUCUUGCCAGUUUGGCGUGAGGCUCAUGGGCCGGGAAGGGAAAUGGGGAAGUGCUUGUAUUUUAAAC